rnacentral:sRNA from 1 species
AGCGGCACGGAUGCCGCUGGUUAUAUCAGAAGUGAUGUUUUUGCGCAGCAAAAACUCGCCAUGAAAAGUGUACACGGAUGUACACUUUUCAUGAUGC